UGAGGAAUAUUGGGCAAUGCCCGCAAGGGUGACCCAGCAACGCCGCGUGGAGGAUGAAUGUCGUAAGAUUGUAAACUCCUGUUAGAGGGGAAGAAUAGUACCGGUUGGACCGGUAUAUGACUGUACCCUCAGAGAAAGCCCCGGCUAACUACGUGCCAGCAGCCGCGGUAAUACGUAGGGGGCAAGCGUUGUCCGGAUUUACUGGGUGUAAAGGGCGCGCAGGCGGGAUAAAAAGUCAGUGGUGAAGUCCUACAGCUUAACCGUAGACCUGCCUUUGAUACUUUUAUUCUUGAGUACGGGAGGGAGAGACGGAAUGCCAGGUGUAGUGGUGAAAUACGUAGAUAUCUGGAAGAACACCAGUUGCGAAGGCGGUCUCUUGGUCCGACACUGACGCUGAGGCGCGAAAGCGUGGGGAGCAAACA
rnacentral:rRNA from 1 species